rnacentral:lncRNA from 1 species
UGGGUUGUUAAGCAUACGAACAACCUUCUAAGAGGCCACCGGCCACCAUUUAUGUAUCCACAUCUCCUGCAUUAGAGCAACGCCCUAUUUCCUCGCAAGGUAGGCACGAUCGCCGAAGUUUUGAAGAACUUAAAAAAAAUUUAGGUUUGAAUAUUCAUUUCUAAGAUCACAAUUAUUUUAACAUGAUGUAAAACUUAAGUUUUCUGAUCGAGAAGCUAGGGCCUAGGGAGAAAGAGUUUCACCUUCUCUCGUGAGGAAGGCCACAAGUAAAAACUCUGAUAGAAAUGUGAGGAGAUGAAGUAUUGCAAAAUGGGAUGCAUGAGAUAACUCAAGUAUCUGCAUAUUGUGUUUAACAUUCCGCACACUUACAACCACUUGUGAAUUGGCACGGACGUUUCACUUGCCGGCACAUAGUUAACUCCAUAUGGCACACACCUAUAAUGUCUCAAUGCAUGCACAUGCAUGCUUACAUGGCAUGUAGAAGAUUUGCCGGCUGCCGCAAGAGCAAGUGCAAUUUUGGAGGUCAACUUUGCAUGAGUAGUUUGUAUCAUUUACAUUAUAUAUUAUUAUGUUUGACGUAAACACGGAUAAUCUCCGACCGUCUUCUGUAUUUUUUUGCAAGACUUUCUUAGGAUUGGGGCACAGAUGUGUUUAAAUACCAUAACUUUGAUUAUGUCAUUCAUGCAUCAAUUGCAUUAUUUGAAGCCUGAUAUGGUCAACCAUAUAAGGAAUGAGCAUAUGGCGAGCCUCCAUGAUCCAACUAUUAAAACACUCUGCCACGUUAGAUAUCAUAAUACCCCAGUGUGGACCUAGAAAGACUGCAUUUGCCCAAUGCUCUGGAUUUGCAUGCAGGAGAAAGGUUUUAGUCCCUAGGGCUUCUAAUGUAAGCUUGCUAAUUAAUUUCUGAAAAACAUUCAGCCUUGGAGUAUAGGCAGCAGCAUUUAGUAAAUCAAGCAGCCUUUUUCUCUCAGUUGCACGAUAAUAGACAAGCACCUGCAUUGACAAUUAUCGAAGGAUGAGAUCUACGAUAUCUAAAAUUAGUUAGAUAAAUUCUAGGUUGAAAAUUCAGAAUAUGACGCUCCAAACCUGACUCUUGAAGUUGACUUUCACGUGAUGGAAACAAUAUAAGUGGUAACUAUCAGAAAAGUACUUUGGCACUGAUUUAAUAAUUUUCUUAUGUCUAUAUGUCAUAAAUGUGAACUACUAACCAUGAUAGUCACUGCAACUAUGAAUUACUUCUUUCAAAAUUUGACAAAACCAGUUCCAAUUGUCAUCAGUCUCUGUAUCGACCACA